UAUUCAUCUAUGACUAAAAAAAGUUUUUUAAAAAAUUAAAUAUAUAUUAAAUAAGUAUUUAUGAGGAGAUGAGCACAAACAAGUAAUCCACCCCAUGAGCUUGAUGAAGUCCAGACUGUACUAAGAGCACUGUCCUCUGGAAGUAGAAGAUAUCCGACCAGUGGCAGAGCACUGGACUAAAGACUUGCGACCCUGCCUCCAUUUUGCAUGCAUCUUCUUUUCUCCAGAGUCACCUUGGAUUCCAGGAACAAGGACUGAUAGGAUAAGCCUCUUGUGAUUAUCCCCAGGCAACAGCAACUUUCUCAUCCUGAACAAGGCCUGCCUCACCUGAUCCUGAGAUCACCAGGGACAGACCACACCUGAGCAAGGCCACCUGCACUGAAAGCUGUGACAGCCUUAGCUGUGCAAACCCGGACCCUUGCCCUCAUUCCCCUUUCUAUAAACCUCAAAGUCAUUGUCAGCCCCUGGAGGACAGGGCUGAGGUCCUCUUGUCUUUCCGUUGCAAUCUAUAGGAUUAAAGUUCCGUUCAUGCUUGUCA